UGCCAGCCGCCGCGGUAAUACGGAGGGGGCUAGCGUUGUUCGGAAUUACUGGGCGUAAAGGGCGCGUAGGCGGGAUAUCAAGUUGGGGGUGAAAGGCCUGGGCUCAACCUGGGGACUGCCUCCAAAACUGGUAUUCUAGAGUCCGGAAGAGGAUGGCGGAAUUCCCAGUGUAGAGGUGAAAUUCGUAGAUAUUGGGAAGAACACCGGUGGCGAAGGCAGCUCACUGGCCAAGUACUGACGCUCAUGGACGAAAGCGUAGGUAGCAAACGGGAUUAGAUA
rnacentral:rRNA from 1 species